rnacentral:rRNA from 1 species
CCUACGGGAUGCUGCAGUGGGGAAUAUUGCACAAUGGGGGAAACCCUGAUGCAGCGACGCCGCGUGAGUGAAGAAGUAAUUCGUUAUGUAAAGCUCUAUCAGCAGGGACGAAAAUGACGGUACCUGAGUAAGAAGCAUCGGCUAACUACGUGCCAGCAGCCGCGGUAAUACGUAGGGGGCAAGCGUUAUCCGGAUUUACUGGGUGUAAGGGGAGCGUAGACGGCAGUGCAAGUCUGGAGUGAAAGGCGGGGGCUCAACCCCCGGACUGCUCUGGAUACUGUACGGCUGGAGUGCAGGAGAGGUAGGUGGAAUGCCUGGUGUAGCGGUGAAAUGCGUAGAGAUUAGAAGGAACACCAGUGGCGAAGGCAGCUUACUAAACUGUAACUGACGUUGAGGCACGAAAGCGUGGGGAGCAAACAGGAUUAGAUACCCGGGUAGUC